rnacentral:SRP_RNA from 1 species
GCCAGGCAUUGUGGCACGCGCCUGUAAUCCCAGCUACUUGGGAGGCUGAGGCAUGAGAAUCCUUUGAACCUGGGAAGCAGAGGUUGCAGUGAGCCAAGAUCGUGCCACUGCACUCCAGUCUGGGUAACACUGUCUCAAAAAAAAAAAAAAAAAGAAAAGGCGGUGCAUUUCUUUUUUCUUGCUUUCUUUCCUUUUUUUUUUUUUUUUUUUUUUUGAGACAGUGUUACCCAGACUGGAGUGCAGUGGCACGAUCUUGGCUCACUGCAACCUCUGCUUCCCAGGUUCAAAGGAUUCUCAUGCCUCAG